ACGCCGGCCUGCAGUGAUUACUGGGAGAUUAAUUGGGUGUCAAUUCCCAAAAGCUUGGCUUCCCUGACCAAGCUGCGUUGUGAGAGUUCAAUGUGAUGGCGUUCACGCUGAAAAGGCCCCAACCAUCCGGUGUUCUUGUACGCACUGAUCAAUCGGCCGGCGCCGUCGGCCGUGGUGGUGUGAACGAGCCAACGAGGUCCCUGACGUAGUGACAUAUCUCCAGACUGCGGCGGGGCUCUGGUUGGUCAGUAGCACAGCUAAGGUCCUGUUCGUUUUUAUCAAACCCAUGGGGAUUGAGAGUGAUUGAAUCCCCUACAAGUUAAAAUUCCCCUCAAUUCACUCCAAUCUCCCUCAAUCCCCAUGGAUUAGGAUGAAAUGAACAAAGCCUAAGGGCUUAUUCGGUUAUUUUCAAUCCAUAUGGAUUGAAGGGGAUUAAUACGAAUUGGGAAGGAUUUUGACUUACUAGGGAUUGAAACCCCUCAAUCCCCCUCAAUCCAUAUGGAUUGGGGUAGAACCGAACAAGCCCUAAGUGGGAAUUGGACCGGCCUAGUUUGGUCCGGCUCUAUAGUGAUUUGAGUCAAAUGCGCCCAGGUUUAUAAGGCUAUUUUUUUUUGAUCGUAUUGUAUCAAUCUAAAGAGUACAAAUGGUGGUCCAGUCCAGUUCUAAAGAACGAGCGCGUCUUCAUUG
rnacentral:lncRNA from 7 species